ensembl:lncRNA
CAUGUGUGGCUUCUGUUGCCGUUCAACCUGAGUCUGUGUUUCAGUGUUGAGAAACACUACUAGACUUUGUAAUUCCUCUAUCAGGAAGUCCUGGAAUGGAUUGCUUGAUGUUUGAGCAGUGCAAACAAACAAAAAUGUGCCAAUUCUGCCUUUUUCUGUAUUUCUGUAUGUGUUCGUGUGUUCGUGUGUGUGUGUGUGUGUGUGUAGCAAGUGAAAGGCCAAGGUCAGUGAUGACUUCAGAUUGAAGAGUAACUUGUAUUCUAUGAAGUGAGGAGUUUCAUGUGAACAGAUUUACUUUCUGACCUACUGUUCAUCAUUACAUCAAAACAACGAGGAAACAUAAGCCUAAAGUGUAUCAUCAAUAGUGUUAUUGUAAAGCUAAAAUAAAUAAGUUGGUUGUUUCAUAGACAAAUUUUCCAUGGCCCUAAAGGCAUGCAACUGGUUUCAGUUUACAACAAAAACACCCUAAGACAGUGAUUAUCAUAGCAAUGGGCUAAAACUAUUCAAAAUGCAUGACUAGAGAUGCCCUGGCAACUUCAGACAACCCCCUAGUAUCAUGACAGAAAGUUUUGCACUGAUAUACUCUUUAAACUGUACACAUUUAGUGUAUGUAUUGUGUUGAGCAGCUUGUCCCAUCUCAGCCCAAUUAUUAUGGCUGGAAGGUCCACAUGUACCUGAGGCUUUCGACUACAAGUGAAGUUUAAGAACUUAUUCUGAAGCAGUGCAGUUAAACAAUCGUCUAGUCAUGAAUAUUAACCUUGCCCCCCUGGCUGUUUCCAUAGUCCAUCACAUGGUUUCUUUUUACCUCUUCAGAGUAACCUUUGAACAGCACGAAGAGCAGAAGAGUAUGACAGAAAAAGGUGUUUAGAAGAAAAGAUUUUUAAAAAUGUGCGGUUUGGAAAUGUUUCAACAUGAAGGUGAGCUGGUAGUGGAACCAGGUGCAAAGGAAAGUGUGGUUGCGACUGCACCCAGCCACUGGCUUCUAUUUGCAGCAUUUCUCUGGCUGCUGAAACAGCACAAUAAAGCGUAGAGGAGACCGAGUUAAAAAGCUGAAACUGAGCUACUUAACCCUGUCACAUCUCUGAUCUGUACCAUGCUUACUGUUUGGGUUGGACCUUAGAAUAGGACUUUGGGAGCUUCUGGAUGAGAUUAAGAUGACAGAGAAACUGUACUUUCUGCUAUGUAAAUACUGCAGUUUUCACUGCAGGACUAAAAAGACAGCUGAUGUGAUGCUGGAAGGCAAAUGCUGAUUCUGAUAUGUGAAGUCACGACCAAAAAAGGUAAAGUAAGUAAUGUGUUUUUUUGUUUUUGUUUUUUUCUUUCAAUUGGCCUUUUUGCAAGUGUGUACAAAACUGCAUAUCUUUGACACCUUCAAAAGCAUAACUGUACAGUGAGGGGGAAGCAUAUCUCAUAUCUCAAACUGUUUGAUGUUGCUUGUGACAUUUUACGGGCCUGAGAGUACUGACGCACAAAUGUCUCUGAAGCUCCAAACCACCUUUUCUUCACGUCCUUCCUGCCUCACUUGUUCUCAAACCAGUUUAGACCCAAGUUUAACCAAUUAUUGUCAAGCAACACCAGGCCUUGAUUGUUUUUCAUGAACCCACACAAUCAGUCAUUGUCUUUGCUGAUAUUGAAAGCAACGUUCUUGCAACUAAAUUUAAAACUGGAUGCAGAUAUUAGCUGUAACUGGUCAUCCAUACUGACCAUAUUUCAACUUCAAUUAGAGUUGACAAAAACCAGUUGGUGAUGUGAUGCAAAUGAGUGGUGAAAUCUAAUGGACAUCAUAUGAUCUAAUGGACAUCACAUGAUCUGACCUUGAUUAAUUCAGAAUAU